AGGGGAUUAGCUUAAUUGGUAAAGUAGUCGGCUUAUACCCGAUCAAAGCGGAGUCUCGAUAAGGCUCUGUUACAGGUUCGAGUCCUGUAUCCCCUACCA
rnacentral:tRNA from 1 species